rnacentral:ncRNA from 1 species
CUGCAUACGCAGGGGUCCUGGCGCCGGCCAGUGCAGCGGCGACCGGGUGAGAGAUACCCAAGGAACCUGACGCGGGUAAUGCCGCCGGAGGGAAGCGUGAGUCCUGGCUUC